rnacentral:lncRNA from 1 species
UUGGACAAUUUUUUUUCCAAAGGGCAUAUGAUAUUCCCUAUAUAUCAUUAGUUCAUUCCAAGUCUCUAAAACAUUUCUCAAACAUCCAAAAACUCUCUCUAAACCCUCUCCAAAAAUUCCACCAAGAUCAUCAACCAAAUUCAAGGAUCCCAAACUUUAAUUCCGGAUUCAAGAUUCAAUCUCAAGCAAUUCUCCAUUCCAAUCUUCAUCAAGAAUUCUCCAAAGUUGAGGUAUGUGGGUUGAUUGUGGAAACCUUCCUUUCCACAAGUCCAACCAUUUAUCCUCUAUUUUACUUCAAGUUUAUGGGUCCUUAUGAUCAUUUAUGAACUCUUGAAUUAUGGAAUUAUUACUACACAUCCUAUUAUGGUCUAUUUUUGUAUAUUAUCAUGAAAUGGAAUGAUUAUAUGAUGUUUAUGGUUUUCAUGCCUCCAUGAUCAAAUUAUGAAGGUUGUUAUAUAUGUAUAUAUAUAUGUAUGUUGUUGGUGGGCUGUUUUAUAUGGAUUUUGAAAUUGGUUGGACUUAGUACUCUUGAAACACAUGAUUUUAUUUACAUGAACAAGUAGCCCACCAUAUGUUUGAUAAAAUGCCAUUUAUAGAAUUCUUAUGAAAUGGAAGGUCCAAUGUACGUCCUAUGAGUCGGAUGAUUAUAUAAGUAUUGAAAUGAUGAUGAAAUGGAUACAUGUAUAUGAUUUUCUCUAUAUAGUGUGUGAGUCGACCAAGCCUAGCUCGGGGGGUUGUAGGCCCGGGUAACCGUAUCAAGGGGUUGGUACCUUGAUUGCCUAGUACGGGGGGUAGUAGGCCCGUAUAACCGUAUCGAGGGGUUGGUACCUUGGUUGCCUAGUACGGGGGGUAGUAGGCCCGUAUAACCGUAUCGAGGGGUUGGUACCUUGGUUGCCUAGUACGGGGGGUAGUAGGCCCGUAUAACCGUAUCGAGGGGUUGGUACCUUGGUUGCCUAGUACGGGGGGUAGUAGGCCCGUAUAACCGUAUCGAGGGGUUGGUACCUUGGUUGCCUAGUACGGGGGGUAGUAGGCCCGUAUAACCGUAUCGAGGGGUUGGUACCUUGGUUGCCUAGUACGGGGGGUAGUAGGCCCGUAUAACCGUAUCGAGGGGUUGGUACCUUGGUUGCCUAGUACGGGGGGUAGUAGGCCCGUAUAACCGUAUCGAGGGGUUGGUACCUUGGUUGCCUAGUACGGGGGGUAGUAGGCCCGUAUAACCGUAUCGAGGGGUUGGUACCUUGGUUGCCUAGUACGGGGGGUAGUAGGCCCGUAUAACCGUAUCGAGGGGUUGGUACCUUGGUUGCCUAGUACGGGGGGUAGUAGGCCCGUAUAACCAUAUCGAGGGGUUUGUACCUUGGUCCCUAGCUCGGGGGGUGGUAGGCCCGGGUAACCACAUUGAGGGGUUUGUACCUCUUUCGCCUCUCCAAGGGGGUGGUAGGCCUUGGAAAUACUAUAUUGAUGGUCACUCACCACACUUGUGCUACGUCCCACUAAAUAUGAUUUUUAUGUAAGCGUCAUUAUAUAUAUAUCGUUUCAUUAAUGUGCUAUCUAACGGGUAUUACUAUGCAUUUUCCUACGAUGUCCAUCUAUGGUAGCAUUGCAUUGCAUCCCAUAUACUUAGUACAUUCAAAUGUACUAACGCAUACUCUAUGCCUACAUGAUGUCACCAUGUAGGGACCGGAGCACCGCUUGACCAUCCUCCUCCGCGUG